AUCGCAGGUCUGCAGGAGCGGAGAGCCAGCACCAGGAAGCGGGCAAGUCAUCUUCUCUUUGCAAAUCUGGCAGAAUGGAGGGGUUUUCCAAAAACCUCCCAUUCUUGCACAACCCCUUUAAGUCAUUUUCUAACAAGGGCUUGCCAGCAGAUGAAAUGUAUCUGAAAUGUCUUGGCGGGGUCAAAAUAAAAACUCGCUGAUGCCCCGUCACCACCGUUCUGAGAGUUCCCGGUCCCCCGCGGUUCCCAUUUCCGGCUGCAGCAAUGAACACUGUCACAAAAAACACAUAAGCCUUGCAGACAGUCACUGGCCACAGUGGUGACCCGUACAGCCAGUGAUUGGCUGCCAUGGUCAUAUAUUCCUGUGCUGGGACGCCAUUGCUACAAAAAGAAGACAACAAGGUGGGACCGAGCAACCUCAGAACAGG